ACCACACCCUGUUCGGGCAUGCGCUUUGCAGAUCCUCCUACAUAACUUGCGUAGCGUGGUUCGAUGCAUCCGUUAGUGGGACGCUGACUGUGCACCGAUCGAGACGUGGUGCCCAUCUGGGUCUCAAGAAGAAUGGCGCCAAGUAGGGGGCUCACUAUCUUGGGCGAGGAGCAAAGACGGAGGCCUGUUUGGACGGCUUUGGUUUUCGAUCUUCCCUGGCGUGCAAGCGUCAGGUCACCGCCCAGCAGCCGCAGACUUCCACCAAAGGUCAUCACCACCUAUGGCCGACGUCAUCUCGUCUUAGACCAGCUGAUGGAUCUGUUCAGCUCGCUCGAUGUUUCCAGUUGACCCACUCAUCCGCAACCAACAAGCAAGAACCCAAACACAAGCAUUUAAACAAACCCAACAUCAAACUCGUUAUGCAGUCUCACACAUUACUUAAUGUACCAAAGUAAUCUGUGACACCAAGUCAGAAGUACCAAGAGGUGUUUUGAAACUUGAAGCAUAGCCGCUCUUUCGAAUUCGGGGCGACUAACAUCGAACAUCUACCGGGACAAGCUCAGCUUGCUGUAACUCACCGGUCUUUUCCAACAUGGAGUCUACCUCCAUGUGUUUCUUAAUACCCCUUGUACAUUUUCAUUGUAUAUACUGUUUAUUCUAUUUAGUACAGGCACGGUAAGGGGUCCAGAGAGGCCUCAGGACCCUUCCCCCUUUUUCAUCUUUAGUUCUUUUUACUUUGGGAGUUAUCUGACUUGGCCCACACCGGACCGCGCCUGUACUAGAGACGUAGACAUUUAGGAUAAGGUCGGCAGAAAUACAUUAACUGAACGUCAUAAUGUGUUUCUGCUAUUAAAUGGGAUCCGAGGCUCUUUGGAUCCAGUUCAUCAGUAGCCUUCAAGGCUGGAAGAUCUAAUGUUCUAUUAAAGUCACUCUAAGAACCAACUGAUGAAUUCUGUUUCACGAGCCCCGAAUUUCAUCUAAUCGCUUAACAGUGACUACAAGGAAUCCUGAUAUGUUCCAUGAUGGGGAUAAAAUGUUUAAGAAAAAUAAAAAGACUCUAGAGUUUAAAUCCCCUGAUCUAAAGCGCUCACAAUAAUUUAACAAAUUAAAAAUAUAAAAAUAAAAAUAAAAAA